GACGAACGCUGGCGGCGUGCUUAACACAUGCAAGUCGAACGGAAAGGCCCUGCUUUUGUGGGGUGCUCGAGUGGCGAACGGGGGAGUAACACGUGAGUAAACUGCCCUUGACUUUGGGAUAACUUCAGGAAACUGGGGCUAAUACCGGAUAGGAGCUCCUGCUGCAUGGGGGGGGUUGGAAAGUUCCGGCGGUUGGGGCUGGACUCGCGGCUUAUGAGCUUGUUGGUGGGGUUGUGGUUUACCAGGGUUUUGACGGGUAGCCGGCCUGGGAGGGUGACCGGCCACAUUGGGACUGCGGUACGGCCCAGACUCCUACGGGCGGCAGCAGUGGGGAAUAUUGCACAAUGGGCGGAAGCCUGAUGCAGCAACGCCGCGUGCGGGAUGACGGCCUUCGGGUUGUAAACCGCUUUCGCCUGUGCCGAAGCGUGAGUGACGGUAAUGGGUAAAGAAGCACCGGCUAACUACGUG
rnacentral:rRNA from 1 species